rnacentral:rRNA from 1 species
UGGGGAAUUUUGGACAAUGGGCGAAAGCCUGAUCCAGCAAUGCCGCGUGUGUGAAGAAGGCCUUCGGGUUGUAAAGCACUUUUGUCCGGAAAGAAAUCCUUGGCUCUAAUACAGUCAGGGGAUGACGGUACCGGAAGAAUAAGCACCGGCUAACUACGUGCCAGCAGCCGCGGUAAUACGUAGGGUGCAAGCGUUAAUCGGAAUUACUGGGCGUAAAGCGUGCGCAGGCGGUUUGCUAAGACCGAUGUGAAAUCCCCGGGCUCAACCUGGGAACUGCAUUGGUGACUGGCAGGCUAGAGUAUGGCAGAGGGGGGUAGAAUUCCACGUGUAGCAGUGAAAUGCGUAGAGAUGUGGAGGAAUACCGAUGGCGAAGGCAGCCCCCUGGGCCAAUACUGACGCUCAUGCACGAAAGCGUGGGGAGCAAACAGGAUUAGAUACCCUGGUAGUCCACGCCCUAAACGAUGUCAACUAGUUGUUGGGGAUUCAUUUCCUUAGUAACGUAGCUAACGCGUGAAGUUGACCGCCUGGGGAGUACGGUCGCAAGAUU